UACCUAACAGUGGUGAAAGCACAGGGUAC
rnacentral:piRNA from 1 species